UCUACUUAGUAUUGUUGGCUACUUAGCUAUCUAUUUGAAUUGAGAGUAUUUGUGUAAGGAACUUGUAACUGGAUUUAAAUUAAUAUCAGUUUAUGUUUGCUUUGAAGCUUUGUGGAUUUUGCUUUUGUGUCUGGUAUUUUGGUGAUGAAGAGUUGAUACUCGGGUUACUUUGUGAUCUUCAGUAUUGAUGCUAUGGAUCGAUAUUGUCUUAGGAAUCUGAUCCAUUGGUAAGGCACUUGUAACUGGAUUUAAAUUAAUAUCAGUCUAUGUUUGCUUUGAAGCUUUGUGGAUUUUGCUUUUGUGUCCGGUAUUUUGGUGAUGAAGAGUUGAUACUCGGGUUACUUUGUGAUCUUCAGUAUUGAUGCUAUGGAUCGAUAUUGUCUUAGGAAUCUGAUCCAUCAGUA
rnacentral:lncRNA from 1 species